rnacentral:tRNA from 4 species
UAGAGUAUAGUGUAAUAUGGUAGCACGGAGAUUUUUGAUUUCUCAGGAGUAGGUUCGAUUCCUAUAAUUCUAG